rnacentral:misc_RNA from 1 species
AAAAAACGUACUCACUUUUUUUCUUAGACUUCUUUUUUUGAUUUUCCUCUUUUAGGUCUUGUCCUUUUUGUCUUCAAAAUAUUUAAAUAAAUCCCUUUCAAAAGUAUUUAUAGGUUUUGGACAAUAAGGAAUAUCUUUUUUCUUCAUAUAAACACCUCAUUAAACUAUUUUAUAUCAUCACAUUAUCAAAUUAACAAAUGUAUUAAAAGAAAGUUUUUUAUUAAAACUUUCUUGGCCUUUUGGGAGAUUUCAGUGCGAUUUCUUUUUAUUCCAAUACUUUUUUGUUGGUCACUUUCGUAUACCCAUUCUAAGCGAUAAUCGGCGACAAUGUUUUUACAACGAAUGGUAGGACAAAACAAUGGGAGAAAAAACUUUUUCUACAGCAAUCCCUUGUUUUCACCUACCACAUGUUGUGAACCCAAAGCACGCCGACGAACGCUUAGUUAUACGAAAAUGACCUACCAAAAACAAAAAAAGUGAGGUGAAUAGAAACAAAAAGAAAUUGAAAUCUCCCAAAAGGUCGUCCACCUCGGGGGCAACUUUCUGCCGAAAAUAGUAGUUGGGCCUAUGAACAAACUAACGUUACUUUUUGGUAAAUUAUUAAAUUAACCGAAAAAACAGCAUGGUUUCUCCCCAUCAAAAAGCAAACUGU